UACGUAGGGUGCGAGCGUUAAUCGGAAUUACUGGGCGUAAAGCGUGCGCAGGCGGCGCGUUAAGACAGGUGUGAAAAGCCCCCGAGCUUAACUUGGGGAAUUGCGCUUGUGACUGGCGUGCUGGAGUGUGGCAGAGGGAGGUGGAAUUCCACGUGUAGCAGUGAAAUGCGUAGAGAUGUGGAGGAACACCGAUGGCGAAGGCAGCCUCCUGGGCCAGCACUGACGCUCAUGCACGAAAGCGUGGGGAGCAAACAGGAUAGAA
rnacentral:rRNA from 1 species